rnacentral:tRNA from 1 species
GCCAUGCAACAAGUGGUGAAAAAACUUAAAAUCUCCCGUACUUAGUACGUGCCGGUUCAAGUCCGGCCCCGGGCACCA